UACGAAGGGGGCGAGCGUUGUUCGGAUUUACUGGGCGUAAAGGGCGCGCAGGCGGCUUUGUUUGUCGGGCGUGAAAGCCCCGGGCUUAACCUGGGAACUGCGUUUGAUACGGCAGGGCUAGAGUUCGGGAGAGGAGAGUGGAAUUCCCAGUGUAGAGGUGAAAUUCGUAGAGAUCGGGAAGAACAUCGGUGGCGAAAGCGCUCUACUGGACGGUAUCUGACACUGAGGGACGAAAGCUAGGGGAGCGAAUGGG
rnacentral:rRNA from 1 species